UACGUAGGGUGCGAGCGUUGUCCGGAAUUAUUGGGCGUAAAGAGCUCGUAGGUGGUUUGUUACGUCUGCUGUGAAAACCUAGGGCUUAACCCUGGGCCUGCAGUGGAUACGGGCAGACUAGAGGUAGGUAGGGGAGAAUGGAAUUCCCGGUGUAGCGGUGAAAUGCGCAGAUAUCGGGAGGAACACCGGUGGCGAAGGCGGUUCUCUGGGCCUUACCUGACACUGAGGAGCGAAAGCGUGGGGAGCGAACAGG
rnacentral:rRNA from 1 species